CCUGGUUUAGACCUGGUUUAGUCCUGGUUUAGUCCUGGUUUAGACCUGGUUUAGACCUGGUUUAGUCCUGGUUUUAGACCUGUUUUAGUCCUGGUUUAGUCCUGGCGGUUUUAGUCCUGGUUUAGUCCUGGUUUAGACCUGGUUUAGACCUGGUUUAGUCCUGGUUUUAGUCCUGGUUUAGUCCUGGUUUAGACCUGGUUUAGACCUGGUUUAGACCUGGUUUAGACCUGGUUUAGUCCUGGUUUAGUCCUGGUUUAGUUUUAGUUAAACUUUAUUGAUCCGUGGGGGAAAUGUUUUGUUCAGUUUCACGUCACAAAAUAAAAACAAAGAGAAAAAUAUAAAUGUUGAUAAUAAAUUCAAAAUAAAAAGCAAAAAGAAACACGUGUGAAAUAAAACAGAAUUAUACAAAUAUUACAAAUAUAAAACAGAAAAAUAAGAAAAAAUAAAAAUCACAAUUAUAAACAAGAAGUAUUAUCUGUGACAUAAGGGUGAGUUGUACAGUUGUAGGGAGUAUUAUCUGUGACAUAAGGGUGAGUUGUUGUACAGUUGUAGGGAGUAUUAUCUGUUACAUAAGGUGAGUUGUUGUACAGUUGUAGGGAGUAUUAUCUGUGACAUAAGGUGAGUUGUACAGUUGUAGGGAGUAUUAUCUGUGACAUAAGGGUGAGUUGUUGUACAGUUGUAGGGAGUAUUAUCUGUGACAUAAGGGUGAGUUGUUGUAGGGAGUAUUAUCUGUGACAUAAGGGUGAGUUGUUGUACAGUUGUAGGGAGUAUUAUCUGAUACAUAAGGGUGAGUUGUUGUACAGUUGUAGGGAGUAUUAUCUGUUACAUAAGGGUGAGUUGUUGUACAGU